GACGAACCGUACGAACGUUAUUCGGAAUCACUGGGCUUAAAGGGUGCGUAGGCGGUUUGGUAAGUCUCUUGUGAAAUCUAUGGGCUCAACUCAUAGUCUGCAAGGGAAACUGCCGGGCUUGAGUGUGGGAGAGGUGAGUGGAAUUUCCGGUGUAGCGGUGAAAUGCGUAGAUAUCGGAAGGAACACCUGUGGCGAAAGCGGCUCACUGGACCACAACUGACGCUGAUGCACGAAAGCUAGGGGAGCAAACAGG
rnacentral:rRNA from 1 species